rnacentral:ncRNA from 3 species
UUGAGCCGUGUGCUGUGAAAGUCGCAAGCACGGUUCUUAGGGGGCUCCGGAUCAGGAAUGAUCUGGGGCCACCCGCC